rnacentral:tRNA from 1 species
GGGGUUGUAGCUCAGUGGUAGAGUACUUACCUAGCAUGUACAAGGCCCUGAGUUCAAUCCCCAGUACUACCA